AUACGGGGGGUGCAAGCGUUAUUCGGAUUUAUUGGGCGUAAAGGGCGCGUAGGCGGCUUGGAAAGUCAGAUGUGAAAGCCCGGGACUCAACCCCGGAAGUGCAUUUGAAACUAUCAGGCUUGAGUAUGGGAGAGGGAAGUGGAAUUCCUGGUGUAGAGGUGAAAUUCGUAGAUAUCAGGAGGAACACCGGUGGCGAAGGCGACUUCCUGGACCAAUACUGACGCUGAGGCGCGAAGGCGUGGGGAGCAAACAGGAUUAGAUACCCCGGUAGUCC
rnacentral:rRNA from 1 species